CCUGUCUUCAGGGCCACAAAUGUCAGAACAUCAAGAAUACCAAAUAGAAUGGGCUGGGAGUAUAGCUCAGUGGUAAAGCACUUGCCUAACAUGCUCUGAGUUCAAGCCCUAGCACCUAAAAAAAAUACCCAAAAUAAGAAAAUAUAGUUAAUGCAAUUAACUCUGUGAUGAAUGGACAAGUAGACAAAUACAGAAUCUGUGAAAACAGAACAAAGGGAUCUCACUAUCUUCAGCUGGCAGUCCCCAAUUGUGGCAAACACAAUUACAAUAUUUUUAAAAUAAGUAAUUGACUUUUUAUAGUCUGUACUUAAUAGCUCUAUGUUAUUAUGUGUAUAGAUUUUUGAAAGCUGUACUCUAAUCAAGAUGUACUUGCAGUAGAAGAUUGGAAACCCCAGACCAUUAAUAUAAAUGAUAAAAGUGUAUGACUCGAUGGGGAAGCUUGGGAGCAAUGUCCUUAAUGGCAUCGUGGACAGUGAGUGUGUCUCCAUCCUUGGCCCCUCAGGAACUUCCGAGGGCAGUACUGCAAGCUUCAUGUGCUGCAGGUUUGUCACCUUGCUGGGCCUCUGCCUUCCUCUGGCUGGAACUGUCUAUGUGGUCGCUGGCGGGGGCUUGGGGGUGACCAAGACCUCAGGACAUCACCUGCACACGAGGCCCCUUCCACCAGUUAUGGGAAUCUGCCUUUGA
rnacentral:lncRNA from 1 species